UACAGGGGGUGCAAACGUUGCUCGGAAUCAUUGGGCGUAAAGCGCACGUAGGCGGUUUGUUAUGUCGGAUGUGAAAGCCCUUGGCUCAACUGAGGAAGUGCAUCCGAAACUGGCAGCUAGAGUACUAAAGAGGAUCGCGGAAUUCCCGGUGUAGAGGUGAAAUUCGUAGAUAUCGGGAGGAACACCGGUGGCGAAGGCGGCGAUCUGGGUAGAUACUGACGCUGAGGUGCGAAAGCGUGGGGAGCAAACAGG
rnacentral:rRNA from 1 species